AUUGAACGCUGGCGGCAGGCCUAACACAUGCAAGUCGAACGGUAACAGGAAGAAGCUUGCUUCUUUGCUGACGAGUGGCGGACGGGUGAGUAAUGUCUGGGAAACUGCCUGAGGGAGGGGGAUAACUACUGGAAACGGUAGCUAAUACCGCAUAACGUCGCAAGACCAAAAAGGGGGACCUUCGGGCCUCUUGCCAUCGGAUGUGCCCAGAUGGGAUUAGCUAGUAGGUGGGGUAACGGCUCACCUAGGCGACGAUCCCUAGCUGGUCUGAGAGGAUGACCAGCCACACUGGAACUGAGACACGGUCCAGACUCCUACGGGAGGCAGCAGUGGGGAAUAUUGCACAAUGGGCGCAAGCCUGAUGCAGCCAUGCCGCGUGUAUGAAGAAGGCCUUCGGGUUGUAAAGUACUUUCAGCGGGGAGGAAGGGAGUAAAGUUAAUACCUUUGCUCAUUGACGUUACCCGCAGAAGAAGCACCGGCUAACUCCGUG
rnacentral:rRNA from 1 species